GGGUGACGUCAGCGACCAAGCAGAGUGUUCUGUUUUUAUUGAGGCACGAAAGUGAACAAGGACUCGGGAGUUAAAGGCGAGUGAAGCAGUGCAACCUGGUAAAAGCAGUACAGAGGCAGGUGGAGCAACAGGGUCGCAGUUUUCCAGAUGGAUGGAGGACGUGUCAUCUCAGAACCCACACUCCACAAUAAUACGAUCAAGAAAACUCAUGCAGUGACCUAACAGCUCCACCAGAUGGAGGUGUUGAGUAUCAACAUUCAAGUGAUGGGCCAUUCUGAAGACCAGAUUUCCCUGGAAUUUGAGAUGAUAGUUAUUGAGGAAUGGUCACCCCAUAAACACCUUGUAGUCAUCUUGAAUCUGUCAUCCAAUCUGUCCAUGGUUAUUGAUUUUCUCCCCUAGUAGUUCUGGUGCCCAUUUGUUCAUAUUUUGCUCAGCGAGAAUGGUAUUGAUUCAACAUGACAAGGGGUUUACAUUGUUGUAGAGGAAUGUGUAGCCAUUCCUGAAUUAAUACUGGGUGAAUUUGAGGAUAUAUUUUAGGUCUUCCCCUUUUUAGCUUUUUUUUUGUUAGUUACAUUUAGUGGUGUUUGUUGUUAUCUGUUUAAAAUGAAUACAAAAAUUGAUCAAAAAGAAAAAGAAAAAAGUGAAUCAUGAUUUUGAAUUGUGAAUUCCUAAUGGUACAAUUACUGUAUGUAUUAUCCAUGUUUAUUAUUAUUAUUAUUAUUAUUAUUAUUAUUAUUAUUAUUAUUAUUAUUAUUAUUUAUUUUUUUAGCAGACACUCUUAUCUAGGGCGACUUACAGUCGUAAACAAAAAUAUAUUUCAAUAAUCACAGCCCUUAAACAGCAGUCUGGCUGUUGUUACCAGUUUUUUUUUUUUACAGAGAGACCCCUCUUACAUUUCUCAGGUCACUGAGUUGCUUCUGUUUCAGCUGUUUCUGUCAGAGCAAGCUGCAUGUUGCAUUGUAACAGCUCACAGAAGCAAAGUGAAUCACCAGGCAGUACUGAAACAUGGGCCUACGCCUCUGGAGUUUCAGUUUCAAUUUUAAGGUGUGGUUUCAUUACUUUAAUUAACACAUGAAUAUUGUCUGCUUCAUAUCAAAGUGGACGAUCAUAAUUAAACUGAACAUUGAAAUUGCAUUUCACAUAAUAGAUAUAUACAGCUGGAACUUACCGUAUAACCAGAGAUCUCAAAAUAAAUGAGGAACUUUUUUUUUUGUGGUCACUGGUAAGACUUGAUUCCUUCUGUGUUGAAAGACAUCAGGUUAGGAAACAUAUCUUGGUGGUAAUCUCAGUCAGACUUUAUGUUGCAAAAAAAGAACUCACUGAACCUGCAGUGCAUUUUGUGAUAAUUUGCUAAGACACGUUUGUGUUCCUGCAGGCCUAGAAAACACAAGAUUCAAGUAUUGCUAGAAAUUGUGUUUGGGUGUGUUUUGUAGGUGAUUGUCGUAGAAAAAAAAAGGGUUCAGUCCAAAAGAACAAGUUAGAGACGGAAUUAAUACUGUGCCUUUAAGAAAACUUAACAUCACUUUACCACAUGCAAGAAGCCUGUAGAGAUUUCACAAUGUGAUACGACAUUAACUCAUUUCUCUGUGAAAAAAGUGCAAUCUGAUUUUAUUGAAGGAGAUGUAUUAUGUUUCAAUUUGUAGUCCGCUGUAUCUAAUCAACUCUUAUUUGAUAAAUAUCUCUGUUUUGUGUGGAGCUGGCUCCAUGUUAUGCUUGUGCAUUGUGCAUUCUAAUUUAAGGCCAAAGAGAGAUACAACUAUAUAAAACCAGCAAGUGAUUUCCUGAAUGCAUUCCCAAUGUGUUUCCAGCGAUGGUAAAACUAUUUCUUAGAGAUACCAAUAGAGGGGAGCACAUGCAUUCAGAUAUCUGUUAACCCAUGUAUUCAUCUAAACUUGCAACAGUGGGGGAUGUAUAGCUGACUAUAGAUUGCAUUAGUGAAUGAACAGCCUGGUUGGAUUAAUGUUCCCUUGCACACCAGGGGAUAAAGCUCUUCUGCUGGUACUGUACCUCUUUCUAUUUUCCCCUGUCAUGUGAUUCUGUGGUGACCUCUGGUAAGAAGUUUAUACAUAUUCAACACUGGCAGACUGAGGUCAUAAGCACAGAUGUUUCUCAGACAGAAAUAAUAUUUUACACCAGCACUAUAAGAAGUACUUAAAUAAAUAACUUGUUUUAUUUACUCCUUUGAAUCAUACUUUCCA